UGCUCUGCUGCUCACUGAGUCCCAGUGUCUGAGUCCUUGGUGCUGUGUCUUCUCACCCCCUCGCUCAAGGGGUGUCCGAGAAGGGUAAUCUACAACAUCUGCUGCCUAGACAAGGAGCUCACGGAUCCCGUGCUGGCGUCUCGGGCCCACUUGAAUCAGAGUGUCUUCUUUUUUCCAUCGCCACGGCUGUUUAUUUUUUGGCUCUGAUCUUUGCCUUUUUGUUGCUGGUGGUGCAUCAGUGGAUCCUAUAUUGGUACACUUUUGCUUUCUCUAUCAGCACCCUUCCGGACUCCUCUUCACGCUUGAGACGAGUUUCGUGCUCCUUCUUCGGUGACUUGUUCGAUUUUCAGGCAACAAGUCCUCUCACCCAGGCUCAGGGAACCCCGAAGAAG
rnacentral:lncRNA from 1 species